UGGGGAAUAUUGGACAAUGGGGGGAACCCUGAUCCAGCCAUGCCGCGUGUGUGAAGAAGGCCUUAUGGUUGUAAAGCACUUUAAGCGAGGAGGAGGGUACUGGUAUUAAUACUACCAGCUACUGGACGUUACUCGCAGAAUGAGCACCGGCUAACUCUGUGCCAGCAGCCGCGGUAAUACAGAGGGUGCGAGCGUUAAUCGGAUUUACUGGGCGUAAAGCGUGCGUAGGCGGCUAAUUGAGUCGGAUGUGAAAUCCCCGAGCUUAACUUGGGAAUUGCAUUCGAUACUGGUUAGCUAGAGUGUGGGAGAGGAUGGUAGAAUUCCAGGUGUAGCGGUGAAAUGCGUAGAGAUCUGGAGGAAUACCGAUGGCGAAGGCAGCCAUCUGGCCUAACACUGACGCUGAGGUACGAAAGCAUGGGGAGCAAACAGG
rnacentral:rRNA from 1 species